AGAGGGGAAAGGGAAAACCAUAUGGAUGAAAGGAAGUUAUGCCUCCGGUGACUGUUCCGAUGGUUGCCGGAGCUAGGGAGUUGAUGACGAUGUCUUCACGAGAUGAGAGAGUUUUUUUUCUCUUUUAUUUUGGUUUUUGAAAAAAAAAAUCCAAAAAAGACCACAAAAAAAUACCAAAAGAAAAGAUACCCACACACGAGGUAAGCACUUGAAUAGUUCUACACUGAGAAAGAGAGAGAA
rnacentral:lncRNA from 1 species